UGGUGACCCAGUCCCGUAGCUGAAUAAUAUUUAGGUGACAGUCCGUGUGUAUGUGUGUCCCACCCUACAAUCAGCAUGACAGAGUGCUAUCAGCUCCCUUGUCCUCAUUAACACUUUCUCCCGAGCUGACAUCAGAACUGAGCACAGAAAGAAAAUCUGGAAAGGGAGGAUUCAAGGGACACAAACUUUUCAUUUUCUCAUAGAAAGGGAAGAAUGGCAUUAAAGGUUUUCCGGUACUUACAGAAGACUACAGUGAAUAGAGCUGAGCUGCGGUAUGAUGGCGCUGUAAACUACACAGUGGACUGUGCCUAAAUACAUAAGUAACAAGGCCUGAAACUCCUGGGCACUCAUAUAAAGCUUUACCUUGGGACACCACCUCAUUAGUACCAAUUUUUUGAUGACAUCACUUUGCCUAGGAUCUCUGCAGGGUGAUUACAUUAUAGAUUAAUUAACAUAAGUCACUAGCAUGUACAGGGGUUCAGACGUAGCAGUUGUACCAGGGAGAUGGCACUAAAGACCAGAUGAAGACACCAUUAUAAUAAAUAGUAUAGGGUGGGUGGGGGGACUGAAUCUAUAUAUCACUGGCAUAUGUCAUUCUACCUCUAUAAUUUCUUCUUUAGGAGCACACGUUCUGUAUCCCCUAUAUCUAAACCUCUAAGCAGACCUCAGUUUGUCAAUGAAGUAGAGCUAAAUGUGUAAUUUUGACAAUUUACAAUGAUGUUACCGCAGGUAACUCAGGAUGAGCACAUCACUCAAAAUUCUAUUCAGGUUGGAUUCGGCCAACCGUUUCGAUACAGGCCUGAACCAAUUCCACGUGAAUCAGAAGUGCUCCAAUACAUCUAAAAUUUUCUAUACCUCUCCCUCCCAAA